rnacentral:rRNA from 1 species
UACGGAGGGUGCAAGCGUUAUCCGGAUUCACUGGGUUUAAAGGGCUCGUAGGUGGCCAACUAAGUCAGACGUGAAAUCCCUCGGCUUAACCGGGGAACUGCGUCUGAUACUGGAUGGCUUGAGUUUGGGAGAGGGACGCGGAAUUCCAGGUGUAGCGGUGAAAUGCGUAGAUAUCUGGAGGAACACCGGUGGCGAAGGCGGCGUCCUGGACCAACACUGACACUGAGGAGCGAAAGCCAGGGGAGCAAACGGG